rnacentral:rRNA from 1 species
AUGGAGCCCCAGGCGAGGACGUCGACGAGGUUGAAGCCGACGGGGUCGUUGGACUUGAGGAUGCCGGCGAACUCCUUGGCGCGCUCGUCGCCGGCCUCGAAGUGGGUCUUGCCGUUCUGCUCGGGGACCUGCUUCGCCACGUUCUCCCGCUGGAAGUUGAAGAAGACGAAGCGGCCCAUCACCAGCGACAGCCCCGUGCUGAGGCUGAUCACCACCGACGGCUCCAGCGCCGCCCGCGCCGCCACGGACCGCCUCGCCGCCGACGACGAGGCCCCCCGGAACGAGACGGCCGCGCGCGGGGACGGCGCCAGGCGGAGCCCGGCCACGGUGGGCGGGGACAGCACGGCGGCGGUCGAGGCGGCCAUGGUCCUCCUCCUUCGCUGGAGCUGUGUGGGUGCUCAAGCUCAAGGACCAACGCGCGGCGAGUUCUUGAUCUCGGUAGGCGCUACGUACUACGUGGUGUUUGGUGUUGUGGGUAUAUAG